rnacentral:rRNA from 1 species
GGAUUGAUCCUGGCUCAGAUUGAACGCUGGCGGCAGGCCUAACACAUGCAAGUCGAGCGGUAACAGAGAGUAAGCUUGCUUACUUUGCUGACGAGCGGCGGACGGGUGAGUAAUGCCUAGGGAUCUGCCCAGUCGAGGGGGAUAACAGUUGGAAACGACUGCUAAUACCGCAUACGCCCUACGGGGGAAAGGAGGGGACCUUCGGGCCUUCCGCGAUUGGAUGAACCUAGGUGGGAUUAGCUAGUUGGUGAGGUAAUGGCUCACCAAGGCGACGAUCCCUAGCUGUUCUGAGAGGAUGAUCAGCCACACUGGGACUGAGACAC